AUGCCAGGGGUAGAGCGGGAUAUCGGAGAAAGCCGUGUCCCCACAGGGCCCCAGGGCGCUGAGCGGUGGGGAUGGUUAGGCCGGGCUCCGUCUCCAGCCAGGGAUCAGACUCCUCUCCGUACUCCGCGAGAGAGGGAGCUCCCCAGCCCUGACGCUCCCCGAGGUCUUUGGCGCGUUUGCCCGGAGGGUGGGGAAUGGGUGACAAGCCUCGCCUCCCACAGAGAAGGAAACACGCCAUCACCUCCCAGAUUUGUUUUUAUUUCUAGAUUUGGUCAAAUUGCAGAUAUAUUGACUUGCUUCUGGGACCUAGAUCAAGCCUUUGUUUGUCAGCUUGCCACACUACAGACCCAUCCCCCUCCUGGACUGAGCAUUGUCCCUAGCAUCGUCCUGGUUCAGCUUGAAGAAGCAAAUGACAGCCAUUGCCUGCGCUCACUUUUCCUGAUGUAAUUUGGACUGAUGGGGGGGAGUGGGAAAGUGGUUGACUUGUCAAAAUUUUCACUGUAUUACUGUGCUGUGUUUAAGAUUUGGAAUGGAACUUGUUAAACUUGUGUUAACUAUUGCUGUUAUGUUUGAGGGACUUUUAGUCUGUUAUGUAUAUGCAUAUGGGUAUGAUUUGUAUGUGGGAUGGUCAUUUGAUAAUUCCUUUCCAAAAAAAAAAGGGGGAGGAGAAGAAAUAGGAAAUUGGGAAAACUGGUAUCUUGCUAGUUCAUAUUUAAUUGGAAGUUGGGAAAACUGGUAUCUUGUUAGUUUAGAUUUAAUUGGAAGUCCUUUACUCCUUGCUUAAAUUUACUGUACUAUGAUUUGCUGGUUGUUCUUUAACUUGGAAAUCCCUUAUUCUGUUGGAAUUGCCCUGGCAGACUCAGUUUUGGGGAUUAUUUUUUAGAAACAACCAAAAAUUGGAUACCUGUCUUGGAACUGGCAGUCUCUCUGAUCUGUUUCUCCACUCUUGUUACCCCAGGUCCUUAAUUAGUAUUUCAGCGUACUUAAAAGGACCUUAUUGAUAUUGACGCCUCUAAAGUUUGGGGUUGCCUGCCUUGGUCUAACUGUGCAUAAUCUGCUCAGAAAUCUGCAUUCUAGUGGCAACCCUGUUUGUUCCUCCACCUGUGGGACAGGUGGGGCUACUACUCCAAGCCUCCCCCUUCUCUCCUGGAGCCGGCUGCCCCUCUGAAUGGGCAACACAACUGCCUUGAGCCUGCUGCUCUCCAUAAGCAGAGACCGAGUCAUGCACAAAUGACCACAGCUGUCCAUAUGCUCCCUAACUGCAGAGGAUCUGACAAUUGAUUGUCAGAAAUAAUUGAAAUAAGGAACUUUGUGUAUUGCUGAUUAAUCCUGGGGUUAUCAGGGAGAGACUUGUCCUUGCAUUAGUCUAGCUUUAUUUUGAUUUACUUCACAUAGGGUUGUUCAAAUUAUAGUGCUAAGGCCUUCUAGAGGAAGGUAAUUCAAAGAUUUGGAUAGUUCCAAGAGAAAAAGGAGGGAAUGUAAUGCCAAAGGUCACUUUUAAUGGGGUGACCAGUUCCUCCAUUUGUCCUCCUUCAUAUUCUGCCUUAAGGUUAUGACUGUCCCCUCUUAAUGGUUGAGAUAAAGGUAUUAUAGACAUUCCUUAUUGUCAUUAGAAUAUCAGUAACUUCCAUCUAUGAGGCUAUCCCCACCUAGGUCUCUGCAUUAUGUCAUUGUUCUUGUUAUUCCAUAAAAGACUUGCUGUCCCGAUACUUGGGGCUAGACUCUUUGAGAUGAUAGUCUCAUCUAGCCCUGGGAUCCAUUGGUCUCAGUAUUUCUCUCCAUUUAAUAAACUAUUGAAUUGGUCUCUAAUGUCUGUCCUGCUCAGCUUCUUUUGUUGUUUCCCUCUUUUGAAUGUAUGUUGCUUGAAGGCAAGCGCUAUUUUGUCUUCUGUAUAAAAGAAACUAGGUAGCACAUAUUCCUGGAGGCGGGAAUACCUAAUUCAAAUUCAAAUGUGACCUCAGAUAUUAGCAGGGUGACUUUGGGCAAGACAUUUCACCUCUAUCUCAGUUUGCUCAACUGUAAUAUAGGGAUGGGGACAACUAUGCAGCACUGUGUUGGGUCUAGAGUCAGGAAGACUUACCUUCAUGAGUCCAAAUCUGGCCUCAGACACUUUCUAGCUGUGUGACUCUAGGCAAGUCACUUAGUCCUGUUUGUCUCAGUUUCCCCAUCUGUAACAUAAACUGGAGAAACAAAUAACAAACCACUCAGUAUCUUUGACCAGAAAAACCUCAAAUGGGGUCACAGAGAUUGAAAUGACUCAACAUUACCAACAAUAAGAUAUAGGGAUAAUAAUAACACUAAC
rnacentral:lncRNA from 1 species